rnacentral:misc_RNA from 1 species
GUCGUGAGGUGUCUUGGGACCUCGAUUCGACGAAGAAAGAAAGUCGCUUCGAGAAACGCCAAGAAUAUUGGAAAAAGAAUCAUUGGGGAUACACGAUAAACGUGUACAAAUAACGUUUCCUUAUCUUCACCUUGCAACAGUAUAAAAGUGUAUAUAAUCUACUCGAGCAACGUGGCCUGCCUUCACAAUUUUUCAAAACGAAGCGUGAAUGCAGCUCGAAAAACCCGUGGUCCAUAUGGAGAGCGACCCAAGGGGCCCUCCAAAAUCGGUAUUCAGGGCUCUAUCUGAACAGGCCCAAUCGGCAGCAUGGCCAUCCAACUAAAAUGAGAAACCAACGGGAAAAAAAAAGCAAUAGAACCGGACGACUCGCACGAAAACAAGACUAAAAGAAGCGACUGUCGAUUAUUCGAUGUCUAAACAAACUAGGGUCGGUCCAGCCACCCCAUGCUAUGUUCGUUUAACA